rnacentral:rRNA from 1 species
AUUGAACGCUGGCGGAAUGCUUUACACAUGCAAGUCGAACGGCAGCACGGACUUCGGUCUGGUGGCGAGUGGCGAACGGGUGAGUAAUGUAUCGGAACGUGCCCAGUCGUGGGGGAUAACGUAGUGAAGAUUACGCUAAUACCGCAUACGAUCUAUGGAUGAAAGCGGGGGAUCGCAAGACCUCGCGCGAUUGGAGCGGCCGAUAUCAGAUUAGGUAGUUGGUGGGGUAAAGGCCCACCAAGCCAACGAUCUGGAGCUGGUCUGAGAGGAAGACCAGCCACACUGGAAGUGCGACACGGUCCAGACUCCUACGGGAGGCAGCAGUGGGGAAUUAUGGACAAUGGGCGAAAGCCUGAUCCAGCCAUUCCGCGUGCAGGAUGAAGGCCCUCGGGUUGUAAACUGCUUUUGUACAGAACGAAAAGGUUUCUACUAAUACUAGGAGCUCAUGACGGUACUGUAAGAAUAAGCACCGGCUAACUACGUGCCAGCAGCCGCCGUAA